GCUUUUGCUGCACAGAUUCCUACCUUGGGUGCUGUAGAAAACCCAGAAGGAUCUGCAAGCAUCAGACUCAUGACCUGUGAAGAAAUAAUACAAACCCAGUAUGAGUUUCAGAGCCUGGUCUGGACAGUUUCUGACUGAUACAAACAAGCUGAGCUGACUGCAGUGAGCAGCUGAAGUUCUGAACGUGCACACACCGUGCUUGUGGUAAGUGUUUAGCAGUGGAUUUUUAUCUUCACCAAAAAAUAAACUCU
rnacentral:lncRNA from 1 species